GUGUCAGCAGCCGCGGUAAGACGUAGGAGGCGAGCGUUGUCCGGAUUCAUUGGGCGUAAAGCGCGCGUAGGCGGCCACGCAAGUCGGUUGUGAAAUCCCGGGGCUCAACCCCGGGACUGCGUCCGAUACUGCAUGGCUAGAGGUAGGUAGGGGAGAUCGGAAUUCCUGGUGUAGCGGUGGAAUGCGCAGAUAUCAGGAGGAACACCGGUGGCGAAGGCGGAUCUCUGGGCCUUACCUGACGCUCAGGCGCGAAAGCUAGGGGAGCGAACAGGAUUAGAUACCCUUGUAGUCC
rnacentral:rRNA from 1 species